UACGUAGGGCGCAAGCGUUAUCCGGAAUUAUUGGGUUUAAAGAGCUCGUAGGCGGUUUGUCGCGUCUGCCGUGAAAGUCCGGGGCUCAACUCCGGAUCUGCGGUGGGUACGGGCAGACUAGAGUGAUGUAGGGGAGACUGGAAUUCCUGGUGUAGCGGUGAAAUGCGCAGAUAUCAGGAGGAACACCGAUGGCGAAGGCAGGUCUCUGGGCAUUAACUGACGCUGAGGAGCGAAAGCAUGGGGAGCGAACAGG
rnacentral:rRNA from 1 species